rnacentral:misc_RNA from 1 species
AAGUCGUAACAAGGUUUCCGUAGGUGAACCUGCGGAAGGAUCAUUACCGAGUAAGGGUCUUCUAGGCCCGACCUCCCACCCUUUGUUGUCGAACAAAUUCUGUUGCUUUGGCGGGACCGCUCGACCCUCGGAUCGACUGCCGGGUCUCGUACCGGGUAAGUGCCCGCCAAAGUCCAGUCAUAAAACACUUUGUAAAACCUUUUUGUCUGAGUAAAUUGAUAAAUAAAUCAAAA